CACUGGAAACAAGUUACCGGUCAAAACAAAAAGAGAGAUGACAUCAAUGAGUUUAGAGAUGGAUCACAUUCACUGUGUACUAUUAACUAAUGAAUCAAGCAAAUACAUCCAUGUCACAUGCUUUCUUACCAUGUACAGGUUAACUGUGCUAUAUAGAUGUUCUAUUCCAUUUAUAAAAAUACUAUGUUUGAUAGAAACAAACAAAACACAUUCAUACGAAACAGAACCAUAAACCUUAAACUCAACUCCACAUCUAAAUACUAAACCUUAAACUCGAAUCUCUAAACCAAAACCAAAAUAUUAAAUAUAAUUUCCAAUUAUAAUAUAUUUAAAAAAUAAAAUAAAAUAAAAAUAUGUAAAUUUUGAACUAUUAUUCUAUACUAUCUAAAAUGGAAUGGAGACUAUUCUUGUGAACUAAUGCAUUUGUGUUCAACCUUAACCCACUUCCAACAAAAGUAGUAUAUGACACCAACCCCAUCCCAACCCCUCAAUAAUAAACCAUAUAACAACCCCACCAUAAACCCCUAAAUACUUAACUUUAAACCAUAAUCACUAUACCCUAAACUAAAAUAUAAACCCUAAACCCAAAUAUAAAUCCUCAACCUAAAUCAAAUGGAACUAAAUAAAUAGCAUAAUACAUAUUGGUGAAAAUAUGAAAUGUCUAUGAUAUCAUCGAAGAAGUUAAUGC
rnacentral:lncRNA from 1 species